GCGGGUGCUAACGUCCGUCGUGAAGAGGGAAACAACCCAGACCGCCAGCUAAGGUCCCAAAGUCAUGGUUAAGUGGGAAACGAUGUGGGAAGGCCCAGACAGCCAGGAUGUUGGCUUAGAAGCAGCCAUCAUUUAAAGAAAGCGUAAUAGCUCACUGGUCGAGUCGGCCUGCGCGGAAGAUGUAACGGGGCUAAACCAUGCACCGAAGCUGCGGCAGCGAACGUAUCACUUAAAGCGAUUCAGCGGGUUACGAUUGACGGAGCGAAGCGACGUCAAAGCGUAUACAAAGUCGAGUCGGUUUAAGGAUACGUUCGUUGGGUAGGGGAGCGUUCUGUAAGCCUGUGAAGGUGGCCUGUGAGGGUUGCUGGAGGUAUCAGAAGUGCGAAUGCUGACAUAAGUAACGAUAAAGCGGGUGAAAAGCCCGCUCGCCGGAAGACCAAGGGUUCCUGUCCAACGUUAAUCGGGGCAGGGUGAGUCGACCCCUAAGGCGAGGCCGAAAGGCGUAGUCGAUGGGAAACGGGUUAAUAUUCCCGUACUUGGUGUUACUGCGAAGGGGGGACGGAGAAGGCUAUGUUGGCCGGGCGACGGUUGUCCCGGUUUAAGCGUGUAGGUGUGUGUUCCAGGUAAAUCCGGUUCACUUUAACACUGAGGCGUGACGACGAGGCACUACGGUGCUGAAGCAACAAAUGCCCUGCUUCCAGGAAAAGCCUCUAAGCAUCAGGUAACAUCAAAUCGUACCCCAAACCGACACAGGUGGUCAGGUAGAGAAUACCAAGGCGCUUGAGAGAACUCGGGUGAAGGAACUAGGCAAAAUGGUGCCGUAACUUCGGGAGAAGGCACGCUGACAUGUAGGUGAAGUGAUUUACUCAUGGAGCUGAAGUCAGUCGAAGAUACCAGCUGGCUGCAACUGUUUAUUAAAAACACAGCACUGUGCAAACACGAAAGUGGACGUAUACGGUGUGACGCCUGCCCGGUGCCGGAAGGUUAAUUGAUGGGGUCAGCGCAAGCGAAGCUCCUGAUCGAAGCCCCGGUAAACGGCGGCCGUAACUAUAACGGUCCUAAGGUAGCGAAAUUCCUUGUCGGGUAAGUUCCGACCUGCACGAAUGGCGUAAUGAUGGCCAGGCUGUCUCCACCCGAGACUCAGUGAAAUUGAACUCGCUGUGAAGAUGCAGUGUACCCGCGGCAAGACGGAAAGACCCCGUGAACCUUUACUAUAGCUUGACACUGAACAUUGAGCCUUGAUGUGUAG
rnacentral:rRNA from 1 species